rnacentral:tRNA from 1 species
GCUCCCGUAGCUCAACUGGAUAGAGUGCUUGGCUUCGGACCAAGAGGUUAUAGGUUCGAAUCCUAUCGGGAGUACCA